rnacentral:lncRNA from 1 species
AUUUAUAGGGAAACAUACCUAAUGGCCAAUGUCUGGACGGGUAAAUGAUGGAUGCCCCAGUAGUGCCCUGACCAGAGGAAGAGGAUUUAGGAAGGUAUUUUUCAGUUGGUUCUUUUGCACAUGGCUCCAAGCCGUAGUCUUCCACUCAAGGAAUCUUGUGAGGUGUGUGCUGAGCACGCCAGAGCCCAGAUAGGUGAGUCCUUAACCAAAAACCAAUCCACACCAGGGCGAGUCUCCUGGACGUGCCCACCAGGUAUGUCGCAAUAAUGACGCAUCGGAUGCCAGUGGUCAUGUGACGAUUUCCUAUAUUCCAAAUUCCAUUAAGACCAGCCCACCCUGUAAUUUCCUCAUCAGAAAUGCCUCACGGUUUCUCUGAUACAGAAUAAGCAAUAUGGUAUGCGUGUAAACCUGUCACAAAAUAAAACAAGAAUGCAUCCACACUGGAGCGAGACGGAGUGUGCCAGAGAUUAGGAAGUUCGGCUUUCUAAGCAGUUCAGCUUUAUUGUUCUGCCUCCCUUGAUGGCCCCGGCCCAACCCCACCCAGAACUCCAGGCUCCCCCAGAGGAUAGCAAACCCGCGUGUCCGUGGUUCACUCUGCUAGCUUCCUCGUAGUCCAUUUCCAAGACACAUGGAGUAAAAGGCCCAGGAGGACCCUCAGGCAGAGAACGACAAGAGUCUCUUUGGAUGUCCAUUUGUGUAUUUCACAGACACUCUCUCACCCUUGGCUUCGGUGGUCUUGCUCAGAGCUGCACAGACUCACACACGUGUGUCUUCAAUACCGGCCAAUUUGGGAUGGAGGAGAGGCAAAGGGAAUAGAAAGUACAGUCUCGUCCCAUAAGCACCUUCUAGAACUUCAGUGCCGAAGGACGAAAGACAAGCGAGAACACAGACCAAAUGAAAAAACUGGAAAUGAUGGUUUUCAUCAGGAGAUAAAAAUGUAUGUGAUUCCAUGAUAAAAAAAAAACAAAACAGGUAAUCCCUUCCCUAGACUUACUUCCUAGUAACUUUAGAGAAUAUAGUUGUUCCUGGAGAUACCCAUCCAUGACGGCACUCGGGACACCUAGGAGCAUUGAUCAGGUGACCAGACUCGCCCUUCUCUGAUUUUGCACAGGCAGGCUUGGAUCUGGGUCCUCUCAGUUCUCCAGUCCUUGCCGCAUCGUGCCUCCUUCCACCUCUGCUUUAUGACAUGUGCUUUAAGAAAAGGUUGGGGGGAAAAAAUCCUCAAAGGAUUGGGAAAUAGACCAUGAUGUAAAAAAGCUUUUGUGUUUGGUUUGGUUUUUGACUUGUGAAGAGUACUUUGGAUAGUUCAGGGUAAAAAAUGUAUCAGGGAGGAAAGUAGAGAGAAUUCCUGUGGAGUCCCAAGUGCCUCUGUGUUGUGGUUAGCCAAAAAGAAUGCGUCAGGUG